rnacentral:rRNA from 1 species
AGAGUUUGAUCCUGGCUCAGAACGAACGUUGGCGGCAUGGAUUAGGCAUGCAAGUCGAGGGAAUCCCAGCAAUGGGGGAACCGGCGUAAGGGGCAGUAAGGCAUGGGUACCUACCCCGGGGUUCGAGAUAGCCACCAGAGAUGGUGGGUAAUACCGGAUGACCUCGUGAGAGCAAAGAUUCAUCGCCCUGGGAGGGGCCCAUGUGAUAUUAGCUAGUUGGUGGGGUAACGGCCCACCAAGGCGAAGAUGUCUAGCGGGUGUGAGAGCACGACCCGCGCCACUCGCACUGAGACACUGGCGAGACACCUACGGGUGGCUGCAGUCGAGGAUCUUCGGCAAUGGGGGCAACCCUGACCGAGCGAUGCCGCGUGCGCGAUGAAGGCCUUCGGGUUGUAAAGCGCGAAAGUGGGGAGAAAAGCCGAAAGGCGUGAUCUAUCCACAGUAAGUUCGGGCUAAGUUCGUGCCAGCAGCCGCGGUAAUUC